CGGCAUGCCUAACACAUGCAAGUCAAACGGUUGUUAUACAACAGUGACGGACGGGUGAGUAAUAUGUAAGAAUCUACACUUAGGAGAGGAAUAACAAUUGGAAACGGUUGCUAAUACCUCGUAAUGCUUUAAAAGUUAAAAAAUUUUGCCUAAGUAUGAGCUUGCACCUGAUUAGCUUGUUGGUGAGGUAAUGGCUUACCAAGGCGAUGAUCAGUAGCUGGUUUGAGAAGAUGGUCAGCCACACGGGAAUUGAGAACGGGACCGACUCCUACGGGAGGCAGCAGUGAGGAAUUUUCCGCAAUGAGUGAAAGCUUGACGGAGCAAUGCCGCGUGAAGGAAGACGGCUUUAGGGUUGUAAACUUCUUUUCUCAUUGAAGAAAUAUUGACGGUAUUUGAGGAAUAAGCAUCGGCUAAUUUCGUGCCAGCAGCCGCGGUAAUACGAGAGAUGCAAGCGUUAUCCGGAAUUAUUGGGCGUAAAGAGUUUGUAGGUUGUUAAAUGUGUUUAAUGUUAAAUUCUAAAGCUUAACUUUAGUCCUGCAUUAAAAACUAUUUGGCUGGAGUAUGAUAGAGGCAAAGGGAAUCUUUAGUGUAGCGGUGAAAUGCGUAGAUAUUAAAGAGAACACCAAAGGCGAAGGCACUUUGCUAGGUUAAUACUGACACUGAGAAACGAAAGCUAGGGUAGCAACACCGAUUAGAUACCGGUUUAGUCCUAGCCGUAAACGAUGGAUACUAAGCGGUACUUUAAAAUAGUAUUGCUGUAGCUAACGCGUUAAGUAUCCCGCCUGGGGAGUAUGCUUGCAAAAGUGAAACUCAAAGGAAUUGACGGGGACCCGCACAAUCAGUGGAGCAUGUGGUUUAAUUCGUUGAUACACGAAGAACCUUACCAGGAUUUGACAUGCUAAAAAGUUUUUUGAAAGAAAAAUGUGCCUUCGGGAAUUUAGACACAGUUGGUGCAUGGCUGUCGUCAGCUCGUGUCGUGAGAUGUAUGGUUAAGUCCUUCAACGAGCGCAACCCUUGUUUUUAGUUAUAUUUCUAGAAAGACUGCCGACUAUAAGUUGGAGGAAGGUGGGGACGACGUCAAGUCAUCAUGCCAUUUAUAUCCUGGGCUACACACGUGCUACAAUGGCAUAGACAACGAGUGCAAGUUCGCGAGAAUAAGCUAAAUCUCUUAAACUAUGUCUUAGUUCGAAUAGUAGUCUGCAACUCGACUACUUGAAGCCGGAAUUGAUAGUAAUCGCUAGUCAGCUAUAUAGCGGUGAAUACGUUCUCGGGUCUUGUACACACCGCCCGUCACACUAUCGGAGAAGGCAAUGCUUAACGAAGUUUUUUUAACCGUAAGGAAAAAGAUUUCUAGGGCCGGGUUUUUGACGAGAGUGAAGUCGUAACAAGGUA
rnacentral:rRNA from 2 species